UUUCCUGGUUGUCAAUUUUGUUUGGUCUGAUAUAUAAGCUGCACUGAAAAGACCGGAUAUGCUGCUGUUCUCCUCUGGCCCCGGUGCAACAGGUCCCGUCCUCUAGCAGCCACCUGCUCCCACGUGUUGAGUCCUCUGCCUGAUUAUUGCGCAAUUUGCACAUAGGAGAGUGCUGCCUGUGGACCUGUGGAGAGCGUGGCCGCCUAGAUGAUGGAGGGUUUUGUGAUAGAGUCCUCACUGUUGCUUCUCACCCCCAUAAAAGCGUGUUUGGUAGUCAUUUUUGCACUUCCUUCACAAUUUAGUUUUUUUCCCCUUUGGUUUUUGCCUCGCUGUGUGUGUGUGUGUGUAGGGCACAGCGGCGUGGUGGGUGCUCUGUACCAGUAUAACUUGCCCUCUCCCUGUCGGCGGCUAUGGCCGACCACGCCUUAGCGCUCCCAUUUUCUUAUAAUAGUCUAUUGUUACUGAAAUAUCUUUUGUACUUUUGCACAAUUUUAAAGUAGUCAGUAUUUAAUAAAUCUCCUGUUUUAA